rnacentral:rRNA from 1 species
CUUGGUCAUUUAGAGGAAGUAAAAGUCGUAACAAGGUUUCCGUAGGUGAACCUGCGGAAGGAUCAUUAUAGAAUGAACCCCCCCACCUAAGGCUAAUGCUGAAGGUGGGGUCCUCUUUUUAAACCCGUGUAAUUAGUGAAGUCUGAGCAAUGUUUAUGAAAUAGUCAAAACUUUCAACAACGGAUCUCUUGGUUCUGGCAUCGAUGAAGAACGCAGCGAAAUGCGAUAAGUAAUGUGAAUUGCAGAAUUCAGUGAAUCAUCGAAUCUUUGAACGCACAUUGCGCCCUCUGGUAUUCCGGGGGGCAUGCCUGUUCGAGCGUCAUUACAACCCUCAAGCCUAGCUUGGUAUUGGGCCCCUGGCUAGUUAAGCAGCCGGCCUUAAAAUAAGUGGCAGCACUAAUCCAGCCCUAAGCGCAGUAAACAUUUUACGCUUUUGGACCUGGCUUGGUUGCUUGCCAGAAAUCACCAAAUUCUCAAAGGUUGACCUCGGAUCAGGUAGGGAUACCCGCUGAACUUAAGCAUAUCAAUAAGCGGAGGAAAAGAAACCAACAGGGAUUGCCUCAGUAACGGCGAGUGAAGCGGCAACAGCUCAAAUUUGAAAGCUGGCCUUCUGGUCCGCGUUGUAAUUUGUAGAGGAUGCUUCGGGUGCGGUCCCGGUCUAAGUUCUUUGGAACAGGACGUCAUAGAGGGUGAGAAUCCCGUAUGCGACUGGCUGGCCUGUGCCCAUGUGAAGCUCCUUCGACGAGUCGAGUUGUUUGGGAAUGCAGCUCAAAAUGGGUGGUAAAUUUCAUCUAAAGCUAAAUAUUGGCCAGAGACCGAUAGCGCACAAGUAGAGUGAUCGAAAGAUGAAAAGCACUUUGGAAAGAGAGUUAAACAGUACGUGAAAUUGUUGAAAGGGAAGCGCUUGCAAUCAGAUUGCUCGUCGUCGAUCAGCGGGGGUUCUCCCCUGUGCACUCGGCGUCCUGCAAGCCAGCAUCAGUUUUGGCAGCUAGACAAAGGCCCUGGGAAUGUGGCUCCUCUCGGGGAGUGUUAUAGCCCUGGGUGCAAUGUAGCCAGCUGGGACUGAGGACCGCGCUUCGGCUAGGAUGCUGGCGUAAUGAUUGUAAGCGACCCGUCUUGAAACACGGACC